AAGGCAGGAAUCGCUCAGAGGUGGAAGAGACCUAUUAGGCUGUCGAGCCCUCCCGCACGCCAGGGAAGAACUGCUUCGACUGGGUUUGCUUUAGAGGACAGAUGAGGAGCUCAGUAAAACGGGGGAUCCCGUUUUUUGUAUGACAUGGUGGAAGGACUUCUUCUGCGUUGGUUUUUACGUGCACGUCCAGCUUCGAACCUCACAAAACAGUGAUAUCCCUGAGAAUUUUUUUUCCCAGGCUGUUUCUUUAAGUGAGCAAAAACUGUUGUGAUUGCACAGUUGUGCAGUUUUGCUUUGUGGGGCAAUUUUUAUAUCAUCCAAGGAGAAGACGAAGACGAAAAAGCAGCAAAAUAUCUGAGGAGCCCAGGACGUACCUGUAGAGCUGUGGCUUCUCUUUCUCCAAGCUCUGCCAAAGGUAUGAAUUGUUACGUAGCAGCUGCACGUGAAGAGAAGACGGAGUGGAAGUCACUGUCAGAGCAUCCCGUCCUUCGAAGCUGGGCCUGAAGACUUCAGCCCCCUGACUGGUACACAAACAAAAUCCAGAAGUGAGAAAGACAAGUCCCUCUGCCACGAUGAGCUCUGAACACGAAGAAGUCGAUGUUGCAAAAACUGUUGUCAACGGGCUGAACAGCAAUGGACAAGAAAAAGGUGGGUUAAGAGCUUGAGAGAC